AUCAGCAGCCAUAUCACCCUGCAGCUCACAACUGGCAGCCCACUGAAGCUCAGCAGGUGUGAGCCUGGUCAGUACCUGGAUGGGAGACUCCUGGGAAAGAUAAGGUUGCUGCUGGAA
rnacentral:rRNA from 1 species